UGUGAUUCACUGUCAUUAGGAGGCUAAGC
rnacentral:piRNA from 1 species